AUCGAACGCUGGCGGCAGGCUUAACACAUGCAAGUCGAGCGGAGAUGAGGUGCUUGCACCUUAUCUUAGCGGCGGACGGGUGAGUAAUGCUUAGGAAUCUGCCCAUUAGUGGGGGACAACAUUCAGAAAGGAAUGCUAAUACCGCAUACGACCUACGAGGUAAAUCAGGGGAUCCUGCGAUCUUGCGUUAUUAGGUGAGCCGAAGGCGGAGUUGCUAGUUGGGGGGGUAGAGGCCUACCAAGGCGACGAUCUGUAGCGGGUCUGAGAGGAUGAUCCGCCACACUGGGACUGAGACACGGCCCAGAGUCCUACGGGAGGCAGCAGUGGGGAAUAUUGGACAAUGGGCGGAAGCCUGAUCCAGCCAUGCCGCGUGUGUGAAGAAGGCCUUUUGGUUGUAAAGCACUUUAAGCGAGGAGGAGGCUACCUGGAUUAAUACUCUAGGAUAGUGGACGUUACUCGCAGAAUAAGCACCGGCUAACUCUGUGCCAGCCGCCGCCGUAAAAC
rnacentral:rRNA from 1 species